rnacentral:rRNA from 1 species
AUUGAACGCUGGCGGCAUGCCUUACACAUGCAAGUCGAACGGCAGCGCGUCCUUCGGGAUGGCGGCGAGUGGCGAACGGGUGAGUAAAGCAUCGGAACGUGCCCGGUAGUGCGGGAUAGCUCGGCGAAAGCCGGAUUAAUACCGCAUGAGAUCCGAGGAUGAAAGCAGGGGACUCGCAAGAGCCUUGCGCUACUGGAGCGGCCGAUGUCAGAUUAGGUAGUUGGUGGGGUAAAAGCCUACCAAGCCUGCGAUCUGUAGCUGGUCUGAGAGGAUGAUCAGCCACAUCGGGACUGAGACACGGCCCGAACUCCUACGGGAGGCAGCAGUGGGGAAUUUUGGACAAUGGGCGCAAGCCUGAUCCAGCCAUGCCGCGUGCAGGAUGAAGGCCUUCGGGUUGUAAACUGCUUUUGUACGGAACGAAAAGACUCUUUCUAAUAAAGAGGGUCCAUGACGGUACCGUAAGAAUAAGCACCGGCUAACUACGUG